AACGCUAGCUACAGGCUUAACACAUGCAAGUCGAGGGGCAGCAUGGUCUUAGCUUGCUAGGGCCGAUGGCGACCGGCGCACGGGUGAGUAACACGUAUCCAACCUGCCGUCUACUCUUGGACAGCCUUCUGAAAGGAAGAUUAAUACAAGAUGGCAUCAUGAGUCCGCAUGUUCACAUGAUUAAAGGUAUUCCGGUAGACGAUGGGGAUGCGUUCCAUUAGAUAGUAGGCGGGGUAACGGCCCACCUAGUCUUCGAUGGAUAGGGGUUCUGAGAGGAAGGUCCCCCACAUUGGAACUGAGACACGGUCCAAACUCCUACGGGAGGCAGCAGUGAGGAAUAUUGGUCAAUGGGCGAGAGCCUGAACCAGCCAAGUAGCGUGAAGGAUGACUGCCCUAUGGGUUGUAAACUUCUUUUAUAAAGGAAUAAAGUCGGGUAUGGAUACCCGUUUGCAUGUACUUUAUGAAUAAGGAUCGGCUAACUCCGUGCCAGCAGCCGCGGUAAUACGGAGGAUCCGAGCGUUAUCCGGAUUUAUUGGGUUUAAAGGGAGCGUAGAUGGAUGUUUAAGUCAGUUGUGAAAGUUUGCGGCUCAACCGUAAAAUUGCAGUUGAUACUGGAUAUCUUGAGUGCAGUUGAGGCAGGCGGAAUUCGUGGUGUAGCGGUGAAAUGCUUAGAUAUCACGAAGAACUCCGAUUG
rnacentral:rRNA from 1 species